rnacentral:rRNA from 1 species
UACGUAGGGCGCAAGCGUUGUCCGGAAUUAUUGGGCGUAAAGAGCUCGUAGGCGGUCUGUCGCGUCGGAUGUGAAAUCCCCGGGCUCAACCCGGGAACUGCGUCCGAUACUGGUUGGCUUGAAUCCGGGAGAGGGAUGCGGAAUUCCAGGUGUAGCGGUGAAAUGCGUAGAUAUCUGGAGGAACACCGGUGGCGAAGGCGGCAUCCUGGACCGGCAUUGACGCUGAGGCGCGAAAGCCAGGGGAGCAAAGCGGGG